rnacentral:rRNA from 1 species
AUUGAACGCUGGCGGCAUGCUUUACACAUGCAAGUCGAACGGUAACAGGCCUUCGGGUGCUGACGAGUGGCGAACGGGUGAGUAAUGCAUCGGAACGUACCCAGAGGUGGGGGAUAACGCAGCGAAAGCUGUGCUAAUACCGCAUGUGAUCUGAGGAUGAAAGCGGGGGACCGAGCAGCAAUGUUUGGCCUCGCGCCUUUGAACCGGCGGAUGUCGGAUUAGCUAGUUGGUGGGGUAAAGGCCUACCAAGGCGACGAUCCGUAGCUGGUCUGAGAGGACGACCAGCCACACUGGGACUGAGACACGGCCCAGACUCCUACGGGAGGCAGCAGUGGGGAAUUUUGGACAAUGGGCGCAAGCCUGAUCCAGCAAUGCCGCGUGCGGGAAGAAGGCCUUCGGGUUGUAAACCGCUUUUGGCAGGAACGAAACGGUGUCCGCUAAUACCGGGCGCUAAUGACGGUACCUGCAGAAUAAGCACCGGCUAACUACGUG